rnacentral:rRNA from 1 species
CCUACGGGUGGCAGCAGUGAGGAAUAUUGGUCAAUGGACGCAAGUCUGAACCAGCCAUGCCGCGUGCAGGAAGACGGCUCUAUGAGUUGUAAACUGCUUUUGUACGAGGGUAAACGCAGAUACGCGUAUCUGUCUGAAAGUAUCGUACGAAUAAGGAUCGGCUAACUCCGGGCUAGCAGCCGCGGUAAUACGGAGGAUUCAAGCGUUAUCCGGAGGUAGUGGGUUUAAAGGGUGCGUAGGCGGUCGGAUAAGUUAGAGGUGAAAUCCGGAGGCUCAACUUCGGAAUUGCCUCUGAUACUGUUCGGAUAGAGAGUUGGGGAGGUAGGCGGAAUGUAUGGUGUAGCGGGGAAAUGCUUAGAGAUUAUACAGAACACCGAUUGCGAAGGCAGCUUACCAAGCUACUUCUGACGUUGAGGCACGAAAGCGUGGGGAGCAAACAGGAUUAGAUACCCUAGUAGUC